CACGUGGAUAAUCUGCCUUCUGAUGGGGAAUAACUAGCCGAAAGGUUAGCUAAUACCGCAUAAGACCACAGUGUCUUCGGACACAGGGGUUAAAGAUUUAUCGUCAGAAGAUGAGUCCGCGUCCGAUUAGCUAGUUGGUAGGGUAACGGCCUACCAAGGCGAUGAUCGGUAGCUGGUCUGAGAGGAUGAUCAGCCACACUGGAACUGAGACACGGUCCAG
rnacentral:rRNA from 1 species